rnacentral:rRNA from 1 species
UACGUAGGGGGGCUAGCGUUGUCCGGAAUCAUUGGGCGUAAAGAGCUCGUAGGCGGUCUGUCACGUCGGCUGUGAAAACCCGAGGCUCAACCUCGGGCCUGCAGUCGAUACGGGCAAACUAGAGUACUGCAGGGGAGACUGGAAUUCCUGGUGUAGCGGUGAAAUGCGCAGAUAUCAGGAGGAACACCGGUGGCGAAGGCGGGUCUCUGGGCAGGUAACUGACGCUGGAGGAGCGAAAGCGUGGGGAGCGAACAGG